AUUGAACGCUGGCGGCAGGCCUAACACAUGCAAGUCGAGCGAGCGGCGGACGGGUGAGUAAUGCCUGGGAAUUGCCCGGUCGAGGGGGAUAACAGUUGGAAACGACUGCUAAUACCGCCUACUAUUGGAGUGCCCAUGUGGGAUUAGCUAGUUGGUGAGGUAAUGGCUCCCCAGGGCGACGAUCCCUAGCUGGACUGAGCGGAUGAGCAGCGACAAGAGAACUGGGACACGGUCCAGACUACUGCGAGAGGCAGCAGUGGGGAAUGUUGGACAAUAGGGGAAACCAUGAUGCAGCGAUGGCGAGUGUGAGAAGAAGGCCUUCGGGUUGUGAGGCACUGUCGGCGAGGAGGCGUUACUCGCAGAAGAAGCACCGGCUAACUCCGUGCCAGCCGCCGCGGUAAUUC
rnacentral:rRNA from 1 species